GACCGCGUAGCUCAGUUGGCAGAGCAUUGGGCUAGUAUCCCAAAGGUCGCCCAAAGGUUGUAGGUUCGAUUCCCACCGAGGUCA